rnacentral:lncRNA from 1 species
UGGGUUCAUGCAGGGAACUAGGGCUUGGCAUAAUACAACAGCAGGGCAAUUCAAAUACUCAACUUCAAUCAAACAUCAUGGCCAAUAAAUUUCAACAAAAUCGUGCAGACCAACAUGGUAACAUAAAGGACAUUCAUGCAGCACAGGACAACAACAGCCAACAAGACUAUAUGGGAACUGGCUCUAGGGUUUCGACAGCAUGGUUUAUGAAAUGUAACAUACAACAUGAGCAACAACAUCCAAA